UUUCUUUCUCUGUCAACCGAACUCUUCUCCCUCUCCAAUGGCUAAACUCAAUUUUCUCCAUUUGCCUAGUUACAAGCCUUGCAUAAGUGUUCAUCUUCCAUAACCAUUCAUUAGAUAAGAAAGAAUAUGUCAAUUCUACACUUCACUCCCUCUUAUCUCACGGACUCUCUCUCUCUCAAAAUCCCAAUCUUCAAAUUGGUUUAAUUCAGAUUGCAUGUGCAAUUAACCUCAUGAUUUGGAGUUUCUGAGUGUUGGAAAUUAAGGUAAGAGUUACAAUCUCUUCUUCUCCUCUCUGACCAUCUCAUUCUUUGUUCUUAGAAAACCUAGAUUUAAUCUUACUAUCUUGUGCUUGCAUGUGAGUUGUUUGGGGUUUGAAGAAAACAGAUUAAGUUUGAAGGGAUUGGAUUGGUAAUUUUGGAGGAAACAAGAAGAAAUGGGAAUUUUGGUAUCAAACCCGUAUUCAAGGACAGACCUGCACUAAAAAGGCAACUGUUCUCUCUCUGUAACUCCGAAUGAGAUACCGUUUAUUUCUAUGGAUAGCUAACUCAAAUACGGUCGUUGUGGUACCGGUUUCAUAAUUUUUGGACGAGCGAUGAGGUCGAUAGACAUUUUUGAAGUUGGAAGCCAGUAGCAGGAAUUGUGCAGAAAAUCUGGAUUUUUGGUGUUUUAUGUGCUACGGGUUUGCAUCUUGAGCGGCCCAAGCGGAUGAUUAUAAGCAUGCGAAACAGUUCGGAAUUGCUAUCAAAUCAGGUGGGUUUCUUUAGAAGCUUUACCUUUAGAUUAGUUAGCACUUUCCCAAAUAAACUAUGCAUGAUAACAAUAGAUAGAUUAGGAAAAUAGUACCCGAAUUAUUAAUGUAUGACAACAUUAGGAAAUUUAGGAUUAUUAUUGAGUGAGAAGGUUUAAAUCCCAAAACUAUCUCCAUUCUGAUGAUAUAAUAUAUUUAUGCUGGAUAUGACUAGAAUAAAAUGGGAUUGUAGGUGGAUAGUUGGUUUUCUCUUUAAAAAUUGCAAAACCGAGUGUUGAACUGGUUUUCUGGCUUAGCGAGCAUUUUGUUUCGCUAAGCGAGCGUAUCAGAUUAGUACUCUGCAGAAUUAAUAUUUUAAAUAAAAAUCCGCUCGUUUUAUAUCCCUAACUAUUCUGGAAUAUUUCGUAAGCAGUGUAAUAAUAUUGUGAUUAGAAUGUUUAUCACGCUCAUGAACUUAGGUUCAGGAAUCAGGACAGUUAGAAUUACCCCAGGAAGGUUUUCUUUCUUUUGGGUAGGAUAACCAUUCAAGAUUAGGAGUUAUGUUUCAGAAUUUAUCAGGAUGUUUGGUCAUUAGUACCAAUAUCAGGAAGCGUGGUCAUUAGUACCAUGUCAGGGGAUUCAUUCAGAAUCCAAAAUCAUGUAAUAAGAAUUGUAAGCUCAUGUUGUAUUCCGACGUACAUUAUUAUCGGUGAUACCAGGCCAGACACUUCGGGACCGGCUUACCCCGGGGUGAUCCUGUGAGGAUAAAACGAACAAGAUAAUUAUUAUGUGUGUUACACCUUUAUUUCUUUAUUAUCAUAUUAUGAAAACUUCAGGAUUAUGUCAGGAUUAGACUAUUAGAUAUUCAGGUUCAGGUUAAUCUUCUUUGUUUUUAUGUUAAUCUGUUAAGUUAGAAUUUAAUUCUCUUCCGCUGUAUUUUACUGGAUUAUCACAUUAUUAUCGUGAUAUUGUAAAAUUCAAGUAAUUAUUCUGUAAUUUUAAUGUACUCAGAUUCAAUUAUAUAUGUCUCGGCUAAAUAUUCUAGACAAUUUAGUUGGGGCGUUACAAUUGGUAUCAGAGCAGGUCGAUUCAGUAUCGGACCUUGUCAUGAGUCAUUACAAUUCAUUCCUAAGUAGUACGGACCCUUUGGAGUCUAGACUGUUUACGCUGAAACCAUUCCGUGCUGAGCCCGUACAACUCAGUAUCGUACAUGGUAGCCAUAGUAUUACGGUUGAGAACCGAAGUGGACCAAGGAGGUCGACUAGUAAGAACAGAGUAGAAGCGCAACUCGGGCGAAAGCAAGAACAAUGAUCUUUGGAAUCUAAUGUUGGAACUGCAACCAACUGACAGUAACAUGUAUAAGGAUGUGGAAAAUUCUGGUAAUGGAAAAUCCAGUAUCAAGUAAGCGUUUACCGAAAGGGAAUCGAGACUGGGUAUAGGAGUAAAAUACCCGGAUGUUAGCAGUAAAUCCAGAGCUGAGUAUAUUGAAAGUUGAAUUGUUACACGGAGGAAUGUAGAUAAACCAUUAUACCAAAGUGUGUAGUACGUGAUAGUAUCCAACUGACACUAUGUGUCGGGUAAACUUUUCUGAACUUAGAAGUAACCACACUCUCUUUUGAACCAAGUAAGACCUAGCAGUCAAUAGACCAAAACUCUUCCUAAAUACUUAACCUUCCAUUACAGCCAAGAAAUUCAUCCAGUGUUGUUAGACCAAUCAACUACUUGUACUAGUGAAACUAAUUAGAACAGAUACUUAUACUAAUAAUAUUUCUGAUGCCGUCUUGUUAGACUAUCCUUUAGAAUGUCAACAUUAAAUGUCCUGAAUAAAAUGAAUUCACCCUCCCAAUUCGUAGCGAGUAAUCAUACCACACCCUUAGAAGCCUAGCCUUAUUUAGUAUAACAAUAAAAAAUUCUCUCUUCACACUACCCGUUAUCUAGUAGGAGCUCACUGAGGCUUAGUAGUCUCAUCCCACGACUUUCAUUUUUUUUUAGGUAAACAGGUUAACCGGAGCAAGGACCAGGCAAGAACUGAUGAUCGAGGUUGAGCUUGAAUUAUCGGAUUAGAAGACUAUCGUCUUCUUCUUUGUUUUUAUGUUAAUCUGUUAAGUUAGAAUUUAAUUCUCUUCCGCUGUAUUUUACUGGAUUAUCACAUUAUUAUCGUGAUAUUGUAAAAUUCAAGUAAUUAUUCUGUAAUUUUAAUGUACUCAUAUUCAAUUAUAUAUGUCUCGGCUAAAUAUUC
rnacentral:lncRNA from 1 species